AACUAAACCUAAUCCCCAUUCAAAACAUGGCAGCCGACCUCUCCCUCUCUCGAUUGUAUAAGCAGACAACACAACUCACAACCCUCAGCCGACAUCCCCCUUUCUUAUCCUUCUCUCUGCGAAAUCCGGUCACCGGAGCAACUCAUUGCUCGGCAGGCUCACCCACACCCCCUCUCCUCCUCAUCGAACUCCCUCCUUCCUCCGAUUGACGAACGAGCGACCACCACCACCACUGUCGUCCGGUGGUGGCGUGAAGACGAACACGAGAGAGAGAGAGAGAGAGAGAGAGAGAGAGAGACGUGGAGAGAGAAGCGGAGGAGAGACGACGGUAGUGCCGUCGUCUGCGGCAGCGGCGUCAAUCGUCCUCGGGAUCGAGUCUUGAUUUGGCUUCGGUUCAGCUUCCAUUCUCAGAUUUGUUUUGUUCGGUUCGAGACACGGGUCGGGUCAGUUAACAAGGAGUCAUGGUUUUUACUCGAUUCGGUUCAGGUUACCGGCGCCGACGUCGGCGACGGCGACUGUGGUGGUUCUCUUUUGUUGUCUUUUCUGCUCGAUCUCAGACUCAGCGGGUUCGGGUUCUGAUUCAGAUUACGUGUUGAACUCAGUUCCGUUCGGGUCAGAUUUCGAUGUUCUGUCUCGGGUAGUUUAGGCUCGAGUCGCACAAGGGGCUUGGUAUACGUAUGGGUUCGUUGCGGAUUAUAUCUCGAUGCUAUUCAGCUCAACCCGGUUCGACUCGGGUGACCUCGGUGCUCCGUCCUCCUAAACUCGCACACUCGUCAACACUUGGAUAAUCGGAAGACUUAGCAUUUAUGUUGACAGUCAAGAUGUUGAAGAAUCAAGUUAGGAUGGACUAGAUACCCAUUUUAAUAAUAAACCAUGUUUGUUGCAAUUUGUCUUUAUUUGAAUCAAUGUAUUUGAGUUUAGUCAUUUAUGAAAUUUGAUUUAAU